rnacentral:lncRNA from 1 species
CAAAAGGAAGGUUUGGAUUGAUUUUGGGGGUUAUGGUCCCAUCGGUUUAGGAAUCAGGGACCCAAAGGGACCCAAAACAUACAUUUAUCUAGUUUCAGGACAAUUAUAAGUUGUUGAUAAGUAUUUCAAUUACUCUGAAAUUGUACCGCAAUGUUCAUACCAUUAAGUAGGUUAGAAGGUUGAGAUUUAUUUUAAGGUACUAGUAUAGGGGGCAAACAGUCUAGGAAUUUAGGACCAAAAAGGGGCCAAAAACAAGCAUUUUUGAAGUUCGGGACAUUAACUUAUGUUUAACUCUAUGGAUCUCUCUAACAUUGUACCAC